AGCAGUCGCCGCGGGAAUACGAAGGGUGCAAGCGUUAAUCGGAAUUACUGGGCGUAAAGCGUGCGUAGGCGGUUUGUUAAGUCUGCUGUGAAAUCCCCGGGCUCAACCUGGGAAUGGCAGUGGAUACUGGCAAGCUAGAGUGUGUCAGAGGAUGGUGGAAUUCCAGGUGUAGCGGUGAAAUGCGUAGAGAUCGGGAGGAACAUCAGUGGCGAAGGCGGCCAUCUGGGACAACACUGACGCUGAGGCACGAAAGCGUGGGGAGCAAACAGGAUUAGAUACCCCUGUAGUCCCUGUCUCUUAUAC
rnacentral:rRNA from 1 species